rnacentral:rRNA from 2 species
GUGGUAAUGCCGGAUGCUCCAGUUGAUCGCAUGGUCUUCUGGGAAAGCUUUCGCGGUAUGGGAUGGGGUCGCGUCCUAUCAGCUUGACGGCGGGGUAACGGCCCACCGUGGCUUCGACGGGUAGCCGGCCUGAGAGGGCGACCGGCCACAUUGGGACUGAGAUACGGCCCAGACUCCUACGGGAGGCAGCAGUGGGGAAUAUUGCACAAUGGGCGCAAGCCUGAUGCAGCGACGCCGCGUGAGGGAUGGAGGCCUUCGGGUUGUAAACCUCUUUUAUCGGGGAGCAAGCGAGAGUGAGUUUACCCGUUGAAUAAGCACCGGCUAACUACGUGCCAGCAGCCGCGGUAAUACGUAGGGUGCAAGCGUUAUCCGGAAUUAUUGGGCGUAAAGGGCUCGUAGGCGGUUCGUCGCGUCCGGUGUGAAAGUCCAUCGCUUAACGGUGGAUCCGCGCCGGGUACGGGCGGGCUUGAGUGCGGUAGGGGAGACUGGAAUUCCCGGUGUAACGGUGGAAUGUGUAGAUAUCGGGA